rnacentral:rRNA from 1 species
AUUGAACGCUGGCGGCAUGCUUACACAUGCAAGUCGAACGGUAACAGGUUAAGCUGACGAGUGGCGAACGGGUGAGUAAUGCAUCGGAACGUGCCCGGUCGUGGGGGAUAACGCAGCGAAAGCUGCGCUAAUACCGCAUACGAUCUGAGGAUGAAAGCGGGGGACCGUAAGGCCUCGCGCGAUCGGAGCGGGCGAUGUCAGAUUAGGUAGUUGGUGGGGUAAAGGCUCACCAAGCCAACGAUCUGUAGCUGGUCUGAGAGGACGACCAGCCACACUGGGACUGAGACACGGCCCAGACUCCUACGGGAGGCAGCAGUGGGGAAUUUUGGACAAUGGGCGAAAGCCUGAUCCAGCAAUGCCGCGUGCAGGAAGAAGGCCUUCGGGUUGUAAACUGCUUUUGUACGGAGCGAAAAGGUCUCCUCUAAUACAGGGGGCUCAUGACGGUACCGUAAGAAUAAGCACCGGCUAACUACGUGCCAGCAGCCGCAGUAA